rnacentral:rRNA from 1 species
CAGUAGCCACGGGAAUACGUAGGUGGCAAGCGUUGUCCGGAAUUAUUGGGCGUAAAGCGCGCGCAGGCGGUUUCUUAAGUCUGAUGUGAAAGCCCCCGGCUUAACCGGGGAGGGUCAUUGGAAACUGGGAGACUUAGAGUGCAGAAGAGGAGAGUGGAAUUCCAUGUGUAGCGGUGAAAUGCGUAGAUAUAUGGAGGAACACCAGUGGCGAAGGCGACUCUCUGGUCUGUAACUGACGCUGAGGCGCGAAAGCGUGGGGAGCAAACAGGAUUAGAUACCCCCGUAGUCCCUGUCUCUUAUA